UCCAGUCGAGCUGAGGCGUGGAACCC
rnacentral:misc_RNA from 1 species